rnacentral:rRNA from 1 species
AUUGAACGCUGGCGGCAUGCUUUACACAUGCAAGUCGAACGGCAGCGGGGUAGUGCUUGCACUACUGUCCGGCGAGUGGCGAACGGGUGAGUAAUAUAUCGGAACGUACCGAGUAAUGGGGGAUAACCAAUCGAAAGAUUGGCUAAUACCGCAUACGUCCUGAGGGAGAAAGCGGGGGAUCGCAAGACCUCGCGUUAUUCGAGCGGCCGAUAACUGAUUAGCUAGUUGGUGGGGUAAAGGCCUACCAAGGCGACGAUCAGUAGCGGGUCUGAGAGGACGAUCCGCCACACUGGGACUGAGACACGGCCCAGACUCCUACGGGAGGCAGCAGUGGGGAAUUUUGGACAAUGGGGGCAACCCUGAUCCAGCCAUGCCGCGUGUAUGAAGAAGGCCUUCGGGUUGUAAAGUACUUUUGUUAGGGAAGAAAAGGGAAGUGCUAAUACCACUUUUUGCUGACGGUACCUAAAGAAUAAGCACCGGCUAACUACGUGCCAGCAGCCGCGGUAAUACGUAGGGUGCGAACGUUAAUCGGAAUUACUGGGCGUAAAGCGAGCGCAGACGGUUAUUUAAGCAGGAUGUGAAAUCCCCGGGCUUAACCUGGGAACUGCGUUCUGAACUGGAUAGCUAGAGUGUGUCAGAGGGGGGUAGAAUUCCACGUGUAGCAGUGAAAUGCGUAGAGAUGUGGAGGAAUACCGAUGGCGAAGGCAGCCCCCUGGGAUAACACUGACGUUCAUGCUCGAAAGCGUGGGUAGCAAACAGG